rnacentral:rRNA from 1 species
AACGAACGCUGGCGGCAGGCAUAACACAUGCAAGUCGAGCGCCUUGGCAACAAGGAGCGGCAGACGGGUGAGUAACGCGUGGGAAUCUACCCAUCUCUACGGAAUAACUCAGGGAAACUUGUGCUAAUACCGUAUACGCCCUUAGGGGGAAAGAUUUAUCGGAGAUGGAUGAGCCCGCGUUGGAUUAGCUAGUUGGUGGGGUAAAGGCCUACCAAGGCGACGAUCCAUAGCUGGUCUGAGAGGAUGAUCAGCCACAUUGAGACUGGGACACGGCCCAAACUCCUACGGGAGGCAGCAGUGGGGAAUAUUGGACAAUGGGCGCAAGCCUGAUCCAGCCAUGCCGCGUGAGUGAUGAAGGCCCUAGGGUUGUAAAGCUCUUUCACCGGAGAAGAUAAUGACGGUAUCCGGAGAAGAAGCCCCGGCUAACUUCGUGCCAGCCGCCGCCGUAA